ACAUGCCUACAACAUAGCGUUAAUGCACUAGAUCCCAUUAGAACUCCAUAGUUAAGCACAUUCAGGAUAGAGUAGUAUUGGGAUGGGUGACCGCCCAGGAAGUCCUAGUAUUUUACAUGCC
rnacentral:rRNA from 1 species